rnacentral:rRNA from 1 species
CAGUAGCCGCGGGAAUACGAAGGGGGCUAGCGUUGUUCGGAAUUACUGGGCGUAAAGGGCGCGUAGGCGGCCAUUCAAGUUAGAUGUGAAAGCCCUGGGCUCAACCUAGGAAUUGCAUUUGAUACUGAUUGGCUAGAGUUCGGGAGAGGUGAGUGGAAUUCCCAGUGUAGAGGUGAAAUUCGUAGGUAUUGGAAAGAACACCAGUGGCGAAGGCGGCUCACUGGACCGACACUGACGCUGAGGCGCGAAAGCGUGGGGAGCAAACAGGAUUAGAUACCCCUGUAGUCCCUGUCUCUUAUAC